UGGGGAAUAUUGGACAAUGGGGGGAACCCUGAUCCAGCCAUGCCGCGUGUGUGAAGAAGGCCUUAUGGUUGUAAAGCACUUUAAGCGAGGAGGAGGCUCCUGUAGUUAAUACCUACAGUGAGUGGACGUUACUCGCAGAAUAAGCACCGGCUAACUCUGUGCCAGCAGCCGCGGUAAUACAGAGGGUGCGAGCGUUAAUCGGAUUUACUGGGCGUAAAGCGUGCGUAGGCGGCUUUUUAAGUCGGAUGUGAAAUCCCCGAGCUUAACUUGGGAAUUGCAUUCGAUACUGGGAAGCUAGAGUAUGGGAGAGGAUGGUAGAAUUCCAGGUGUAGCGGUGAAAUGCGUAGAGAUCUGGAGGAAUACCGAUGGCGAAGGCAGCCAUCUGGCCUAAUACUGACGCUGAGGUACGAAAGCAUGGGGAGCAAACAGG
rnacentral:rRNA from 2 species